rnacentral:rRNA from 1 species
AUUGAACGCUAGCGGCAGGCCUAACACAUGAAAGUCGAACGAGUGGCGGACGGGUGAGUACAGUCUGGGAAACUGCCUGAUGGAGGGGGAUAAAUACAGGAAACGGUAGCUAAUACCUCAUACCAACAGAUGUGCACAGAGGGGAUUAGCGUGGUGGUGGGGUAACGGACCCCCAAGGCGACGGUCCCUAGCUGGUCUGAGAGGAUGACCCGUCACACUGGAACUGAGACACGGUCCAGACUGUGACGGGAGGCAGCAGGGGGGAAUAUUGCACCAGGGGGUCAAGACGGAUGCAGCCAUGCCGCGUGUAUGAAGAAGGCCUUCGGGUUGUAAAGGACUUUCAGCGGGGAGGCGUUACCCGCAGAAGAAGCACCGGCUAACUCCGUGCCAGCCGCCGCGGUAAUAC